rnacentral:rRNA from 1 species
CGGGUGAGUAACACGUGGAUAACCUACCUAUAAGACUGGAUAACUUCGGGAAACCGGAGCUAAUACCGGAUAAUAUAUUGAACCGCAUGGUUCAAUAGUGAAAGACGGUUUUGCUGUCACUUAUAGAUGGAUCCGCGCCGCAUUAGCUAGUUGGUAAGGUAACAGCUUACCAAGGCAACGAUGCGUAGCCGACCUGAGAGGGUGAUCGGCCACACUGGAACUGAGACACGGUCCAG